rnacentral:rRNA from 1 species
AUUGAACGCUGGCGGCAGGCCUAACACAUGCAAGUCGAACGAGUGGCGGACGGGUGAGUAAUGCCUGGGAAUCUGGCUUAUGGAGGGGGAUAACUACGGGAAACUGUAGCUAAUACCGCAUACCAUAGGAUGAGCCCAAGUGGGAUUAGGUAGUUGGUGGGGUAAAGGCUCACCUAGGCGACGAUCCCUAGCUGGUCUGAGAGGAUGACCAGCAACACUGGGACUGAGACACGGGCCAGACUCCUACGGGAGGCAGCAGUGGGGAAUAUUGCACAAUGGGGGCAACCCUGACGCAGCCAUGCCGCGUGAAUGAAGAAGGCCUUCGGGUUGUAAAGUACUUUCAGUAGGGAGGCGUUACCUACAGAAGAAGCACCGGCUAACUCCGUGCCAGCAGCCGCGGUAAUAC